rnacentral:ribozyme from 1 species
UGCCCAGCAACUCCUAUCCCUACCUCCUCGUGGUACUGUCCGGGGUACGAGAAUCCUUGGGGAAGA